UGGGAGAUCGUCUAAUGGUCGGACAGCUGCCUCUGGAGCAGUUAAUCUAGGUUCGAUUCCUAGUCUCCCAGCAA
rnacentral:tRNA from 1 species